rnacentral:rRNA from 1 species
GACGAACCGUACAAACGUUAUUCGGAAUCACUGGGCUUAAAGGGUGCGUAGGCGGCGGCGCAAGUUGGGUGUGAAAUCCCUCGGCUCAACCGAGGAACUGCGCUCAAACUGCGUUGCUUGAGGGAGAUAGAGGUGAGUGGAACUUAGGGUGGAGCGGUGAAAUGCGUUGAUAUCCUAAGGAACACCAGUGGCGAAAGCGAACUCACUGGGUCUCUUCUGACGCUGAGGCACGAAAGCUAGGGUAGCGAACGGG